rnacentral:rRNA from 13 species
CGGAUGUCUUUGUACGUGGUUUUUGUAGCGCUGAAGGUCGUGGAAAAAAGAGAGAAACAGCAAAAGUCACCAUGAAGAUGAGCUUCAUUCCAAUGUGAAUGGCCAC